UAUGGGUAUCUAUUCAAGAUUAGCCUGAAACAGCCGUCUUUGGUAUUGAUUUUUUUUCUCUAAGAAAAAUUAGCCCAAAAUCUGAACAAGCUUCUUCUCUUGCUUCUCCCUUAGCUUCUUCUCUUGCUUUUCUUCCCUUGAUUAGAAACCAGCAAUCAGGGAUUAGAAACCAGCAAUUAAGGAGAUGCCCAAGCUCCUUUGGGUGUG
rnacentral:lncRNA from 1 species